rnacentral:rRNA from 1 species
UCUUAUGUACAUUCCUACAACAUAGUGUUAAAGCAUCGAAUCCCAUUAGAACUCCAUAGUUAAGCAUGCUCGGGCUAGAGUAGUACUGGGAUGGGUGAUCGCCUGACAAGUCCUAGUAUUUGACAUGC